CGAAAAUUGGAGGAUGUGUCAUUCUAAGUAGUAGUGCCGCAGGUAACAGCACAUGAGUUUACCUGCUCUCUGCUGCUUAAUAUGACUAUCAUUCCAUCUACU
rnacentral:pre_miRNA from 15 species